rnacentral:rRNA from 1 species
UGGGGAAUAUUGCACAAUGGGCGCAAGCCUGAUGCAGCCAUGCCGCGUGUAUGAAGAAGGCCUUCGGGUUGUAAAGUACUUUCAGCGGGGAGGAAGGCGAUAAGGUUAAUAACCUUGUCGAUUGACGUUACCCGCAGAAGAAGCACCGGCUAACUCCGUGCCAGCAGCCGCGGUAAUACGGAGGGGGCCAGCGUUAAUCGGAAUUACUGGGCGUAAAGCGCACGCAGGCGGUCUGUCAAGUCGGAUGUGAAAUCCCCGGGCUCAACCUGGGAACUGCAUUCGAAACUGGCAGGCUAGAGUCUUGUAGAGGGGGGUAGAAUUCCAGGUGUAGCGGUGAAAUGCGUAGAGAUCUGGAGGAAUACCGGUGGCGAAGGCGGCCCCCUGGACAAAGACUGACGCUCAGGUGCGAAAGCGUGGGGAGCAAACA